GAUGAACGCUGGCGGCGUGCCUAAUACAUGCAAGUCGAGCGAGCAGACGAGGAGCUUGCUCCUUCGACGUUAGCGGCGGACGGGUGAGUAACACGUAGGUAACCUACCUAUAAGACUGGGAUAACUUCGGGAAACCGGAGCUAAUACCGGAUAAUAUUUCGAACCGCAUGGUUCGAUAGUGAAAGAUGGCUUUGCUAUCACUUAUAGCUGGACCUGCGCCGUAUUAGCUAGUUGGUAAGGUAACGGCUUACCAAGGCAACGAUACGUAGCCGACCGGAGAGGGUGAUAGGCCACACGGGAACUGAGACACGGUCCAGACUCCUACGGGAGGCAGCAGUAGGGAAUCUUCCGCAUUGGGCGAAAGCCUGACGGAGCAACGCCGCGUGAGUGAUGAAGGUCUUCGGAUCGUAAAACUCUGUUAUUAGGGAAGAACAAACGUGUAAGUAACUGUGCACGUCUUGACGGUACCUAAUCAGAAAGCCACGGCUAACUACGUG
rnacentral:rRNA from 1 species